rfam:Atta colombica isolate Treedump-2 unplaced genomic scaffold scaffold200, whole genome shotgun sequence.
CUUAAAUGAUGAUAAUUAAAAAGUCAGUUCUGCUACUGAAUGCAUGUGACGAUAAUUCUUUUUUCUGAAGU